rnacentral:misc_RNA from 1 species
AAGGAUCAUUAUUGAAAUAAACCUGAUGGGUUGUUGCUGGUUCUCUAGGGAGCAUGUGCACGCCUUGUCAUCUUUAUGUCCCCACCUGUGCACCUUUUGUAGACCUUUCUCAGGUCUAUGUUGCUUAUUCAUUUGCCCCCAAUGUAUGUUAAUAGAAUGUUGUCCCAAUAAAAUCUAUACAACUUUCAGCAACGGAUCUCUUGGCUCUCGCAUCGAUGAAGAACGCAGCUUGACUUGUUUAACGCAAUGAAAUACAACUUUCAGCAACGGAUCUCUUGGCUCUC